ensembl:lncRNA
UUGCUAUCUAACUGAGAGUCUCCUCAUUGAAAACAUCUGAAGUUCUUCAAAGGUAGGUUGCAUUGUCUCGCACAGGAGACUGAAUAUCUUUAUUCCAAUCCUGAGGCUCUACGGUGAAGCAGAGGGGUGCCUCAGUACAUGGUUGGGGAAAGCACCUAGAGGUCUUGAUCUUCAUAUACUGGCUAGCCCACAGCCUUUCCUAUAGGGUAGUAGACAGCACCUUCAGUGUCCUGAAACCAACCGUAUGCCGAAUAGUUCAUAGGAUUGGAUGAAAGAUCAGUAACAAUCUGAAGAAGACCAUCAAAGCAAUGUGUUCAACAAUGCAGUUGGGUCAUCGAUGGUUGCCACAUAUGCAUCAAGUCACUAGCACUGGAAAGGCAGGACUACUUAAAUUACAAACAGCUCUACUCCAUCCAGAUGCAGGCCAUCUGUGAUGUAACGGGGAGGUUCCUGGACAUCUUUGUUGCCUAUGCAGGGUCAGUCCACGAGACCAGAGUCCUGAAAAACAGUUCCUUCUGCCAGACCGUCAGCUACCCAGCACCAGGCUUCUUCUUGUUGGGCCUCCAUACCAGGAGAGCUAUGUCCAACUCAUUACCUCGUUAAGGCAACCUACCCAGGGAUAGAUUCAGAAGCGGUUCAAUGCCAUACAUACGAGGGCUCGCAAUAUGGUGGAGCAAUCCUAUGGGCAAAUUAAGGCAAGAUGGCCUUGGAGGGGCAAGUCCCCUUCUGGCCCGAGGUGGUGGCGGCAUGUGCAUUCCUGCCCAAUGUGUAGGAAUCUCUGCCUCUCUCCUCCCUAUCUCCGCCCUCUCGCUCCCUCCCUCUUUAUAAAUAGAU